rnacentral:rRNA from 1 species
UACGUAGGGUGCGAGCGUUGUCCGGAAUUAUUGGGCGUAAAGAGCUCGUAGGCGGUUUGUUGCGUCGACUGUGAAAACCUGGGGCUUAACUCUGGGCUUGCAGUCGAUACGGGCAGACUUGAGUUCGGUAGGGGAGACUGGAAUUCCUGGUGUAGCGGUGAAAUGCGCAGAUAUCGGGAGGAACACCAAUGGCGAAGGCAGCUCGCUGGGACGUUACUGACGCUGAGACGCGAAAGCGUGGGGAGCAAACAGG